CGCGUGCCUAAGAAAGCAAGUCGAGCGAAUCAAUGGGAGCUUGCUCCCUGAGAUUUUCCGCGGACGGGUGAGUAACACGUGGGUAACCUGCCUGUAAGACUGGGAUAACUUCGGGAAACCGGAGCUAAUACCGGAUAAUUUCUUUUCUCGCAUGAGGAAGGAUGGAAAGAUGGUUCUGCUAUCACUUACAGAUGGACCCGCGGCGCAUUAGCUAGUUGGUGAGGUAACGGCUCACCAAGGCGACGAUGCGUAGCCGACCUGAGAGGGUGAUCGGCCACACUGGGACUGAGACACGGCCCAGACUCCUACGGGAGGCAGCAGUGGG
rnacentral:sRNA from 1 species